rnacentral:rRNA from 1 species
UACGGGGGGAGCAAGCGUUGUUCGGAUUUACUGGGCGUAAAGGGCGCGUAGGCGGCCACCGCAAGUCGGUUGUGAAAUCUCCGGGCUUAACCCGGAAAGGUCAAUCGAUACUGCGGGGCUAGAGUGCAGAAGGGGCAACUGGAAUUCUCGGUGUAGCGGUGAAAUGCGUAGAUAUCGAGAGGAACACCUGCGGCGAAAGCGAUCUACUGGGCCAUAACUGACACUGAGGGACGAAAGCUAGGGGAGCGAAAGGG